AGGAAAGAUGAAAAGAACUUUGAAAAGAGAGUUAAAGAGUGCCUGAAAUUGCUGAAAGGGAACCGUAGGUCAUCAGUGUUGGCUUCGUGCAUGUUUGGCUCUCCUACCUGGGGUGGUCUUUGUGCACGCGGCCUACUCAUCGUCACCAUUGCCCGGAGGACAGCUUGCGCUCUGGGUGGUGUUGGGGCUGAGAAAAUGGUGCUCUACACCCCGUCUGGAAACACGGACCAAGGAGUCUGACACAGGUGCGAG
rnacentral:rRNA from 1 species